UCAUAUCACGUUAAAACACCGGUUCUCGUACGAUCAACGAAGUUAAGCAACGUGAGCCUGUUCAGUAUCUAGACGGGUGACUGCUUCGGAAUACCUGGUGCUGUAAG